rnacentral:rRNA from 1 species
UAGGGAAUCUUCCACAAUGGGCGAAAGCCUGAUGGAGCAACGCCGCGUGUGUGACGAAGGGUUUCGGCUCGUAAAGCUCUGUUGUUAAAGAAGAACACGUAUGAGAGUAACUGUUCAUACGUUGACGGUAUUUAACCAGAAAGUCACGGCUAACUACGUGCCAC